CGCGUGCGCAGGACUACCAAUGAGUCCACAUUUCAUGGAGUCGGAUAUUCACGCUACACCUGUCGUGCCACGUAUACGUAUACGUUCGUAUAGAGGAGCAUGCGCUGCAGCGCAUGCAACGGUAUUCCAUGCAACAUGCAAAGCUGAAGGCAUGCUUGCCCCACAUUUUCUCAGCACUACUAGCUUCGUUUGAUGGUCGUUUGAUGCAUUGAUUAUGCUACAAUUUUCUCUUUCAAUGGACUCCCGAUGACACCCACAUCACAUGACCAGCUCCAACCAUGCUCCAAGCAUGCUCCAGUGCAUGCUUCAACCAGUUC
rnacentral:lncRNA from 1 species